CCUACGGGUGGCAGCAGUGAGGAAUAUUGGUCAAUGGACGAGAGUCUGAACCAGCCAAGUAGCGUGAAGGAUGACUGCCCUAUGGGUUGUAAACUUCUUUUAUAUGGGAAUAAAACGUUCCACGUGUGGGAUUUUGUAUGUACCAUAUGAAUAAGGAUCGGCUAACUCCGUGCCAGCAGCCGCGGUAAUACGGAGGAUCCGAGCGUUAUCCGGAUUUAUUGGGUGUAAAGGGAGCGUAGGGGGUUUGUUAAGUCAGUUGUGAAAGUUUGGGGCUCAACCGUAAAAUUGCAGUUGAUACUGGCAGUCUUGAGUACAGUAGAGGUGGGCGGAAUUCGAGGUGUAGCGGUGAAAUGCUGAGAUAUCACGAAGAACUCCGAUUGCGAAGGCAGUUCACUGGACUGCAACUGACACUGAGGCUCGAAAGUGUGGGGAUCAAACAGGAUUAGAUACCCUUGUAGUC
rnacentral:rRNA from 1 species